UAAGGAAUAUUGGUCAAUGGACGCAAGUCUGAACCAGCCAUGCCGCGUGAAGGAUGAAGGCCCUCUGGGUUGUAAACUUCUUUUAUCUGGGACGAAACCUCUUAUUCUUAAGAGACUGACGGUACCAGAGGAAUAAGCACCGGCUAACUCCGUGCCAGCAGCCGCGGUAAUACGGAGGGUGCAAGCGUUAUCCGGAUUCACUGGGUUUAAAGGGUGCGUAGGAGGGUUGGUAAGUCAGUGGUGAAAUCUCCGAGCUUAACUUGGAAACUGCCGUUGAUACUAUCAAUCUUGAAUAUCGUGGAGGUGAGCGGAAUAUGUCAUGUAGCGGUGAAAUGCUUAGAUAUGACAUAGAACACCAAUUGCGAAGGCAGCUCGUUACGCGAAUAUUGACUCUGAGGCACGAAAGCGUGGGGAUCAAA
rnacentral:rRNA from 1 species